GUCCUCCUCUUCUUCAGCCACACUAUCACCCAGUGCCGCACCUCCUCCUCUUCUAAACAUGUUGCGCCGACGAUGCACUCCACUCUCCUUGAGUGUGCGCAGCCGUGGUGGCUGGCCAGACCCAGGGCAGCAAUCCUUAUCGGCGAGGAACCUAGAGACGCCAUGGAUGGCGCCAUGGAAGCACCUCGCCACGACCGCGCCGGCACGAAGUCGCUCUGUAUUCUGCGAGCAGCCCCGCCUCCGACCCGAUUCGGACGGCCCCGCCCACAGCCUCCACCACCUAUGGCAUGCCCCUAGAGGCCACCAACUGGAGCCUGUCCAAGAAGUCCAGCCGGCCUUCCUCCCAGGCGCGCUCCUCGGCCAUUGCCGCGUGCUGCGCCAGCAGCUGCCUGAUGAGCCCGUUGAACUGGCGGUGCAUCCGGCGCAUCUUGGCCCAUCCACGACCCUGCCGGCAUGAAGUUGUUGAUGUUGAACAACCCCGUGCUGGUUAGGAGCGACAUGAUCAUGUCCUUGUAGCUGCUGGACUCGUCCUCGUCCCCGACCGCAGCGCUUGAGCCGAUGCCCCCUCUCUUCCAGCCUACAUCAACCGUGUUGUCAUAAUGCUUCCGCUUAACGAUCUAUCAGGCAGCCGGCGGCGGGGUGGAGGCGCCGCCCUGGGGAAGCAACCAAGUCAUGUCCUUCUUCGGGGUCCCCUACUUCAGCCUUUUCAAAGGGGUGCCCCAGACCUCGUGGCAACCCUGGUGGAGCGCAGUGACCCCUCGACCAGGCGCUCGUUGGUGUUGUCAUCAUUAGAGAAGGCGCGGAGGAGCUCACUCUGCCACAGGGGAGAGGUCUCCCCCACCCCCUCCAAGGUCCCCUCCAAGUCCUCAUUCCCCUCCUGCCCGGAGAGAUCACUGGAGGACACCGGCACUCGGGAGCUCAGGAGCUGGCAAGGCUUCAGCAGUACGAGCCCCCGCUCGUUGAACACGGGCAUGGCGGCGGUCACCUUCUCCCCGUCGUCAUGGCGGUACAAUGGGAGAUGGGCUUUUGGGGGCCGCCCUGGUCCUUCUCGAGCAAGGUGCGCACGGCCUUGCUCAGCUCCUUGUUAGACAGGUCGUUCGGGUGCAACCCGAGGUUGUCUUCGGCACCCUUUAAGCUCCACAGGGGGCGCGAGCGUGCUAGGAGCGGAGCCAGGCGCAGUGUUAGGGACUCCUUCAGGUCAACUGUCAUCUUCUCCAGCAAUCGCUCCGCCCGGGGGUCGGUGAGCUUCUCGUGAGCCCACCGGUCCAUCUUCGCCGGGAAGGCGGUCGGCAGCUCCAGCCGAGCAUGGGAGCGCUUGGCGUCCAUGAAGAUCCACUUGUGCUAGAAGACCUCCACCUUCUUCCUGGCCCUCGAGAUCGCGUUGCUGCCGUGAGGCACGACGAAGCUGGCGCACCCGAAGCACUGGGAGACGCCCAUCCCGAGGUUGAAGAAGUGACGGAAAAGCGCGACGGAGGGCAUCACCCCCUCGAAUGCCUUGUAAUAGAAGGCAAAGAUCGAUAGGAGGAGGAUGGAGUUGGGAUGAAGGUGAAGGGUGUGGAUCCGGUAAUGGUUGAGAAUGGUGAAGAAGGAAUAGGAGAAGGGGGGAUGAGUCCUGCGAAGACGUUGUGUAGAAAGAAGGGGUAAAACGUUUCACCCAAGGCUUCCGUCUUGGCGGAGCCAACACAGAGCAUCAUCUCUCCUCCCUCAUUGCCGCUGCACACCGUCAGACGGAGCACGGUGGCAAGGUGCUUCUCCUCAGCAAUGGUGGACGCGCUCAGGGCCGACACGGACCCAGAAGCUGAGCAUGCGACAGGGGCUGAUGACUUCGCCUUGUAGGUGGCCAUCGGUAGCGAGCUCGAAGAAGGGAUUCAACUGAUCUGGAGUCGUUCUGGGCAGAGGGAGAAGGGGAUCUAGAGCAGGAUGAAGGGAAGGCAAUGAAGGCUCAGGGGCAGUCGCCGGCCAUUUUGUUGGCUCGAGACAGUUGCCGAGGCCACAUGGGGAAGCUGAAACGCACACGUCACAUCAAUCUCCAUGCGUCGAUCGAGGUCGCAGGCGAUUUGGGCCCGCGGCGCUCCGCACUUGCCCUUUGGCUUCGCCUCGAAGCCAAGUUCGAGCACGCCUUGGGUCCGGGGGCUACUGUUGGCAU